rnacentral:rRNA from 1 species
AGAGUUUGAUCAUGGCUCAGGAUGAACGCUGGCGGCGUGCCUAACCCAUGUAAGUCGGGCGAUCUGCUCGCAAGAGCAGAGAGCGGCGGAAGGGUGAGUAACACGUAGGAGACCUGCCUCAUCGCAGGGAACAACCCCGCGAAAGCGGGGCUAAUACCCAAGAGGGUCGGUGGUUCGCUCCACCGGUCAGAGUGCCUGCGCAAGCGGGCGCGUGAUGAGAGGGUCCUGCGGCCCAUCAGCUAGUUGGUAGGGUAGUGGCCUACCAAGGCAACGACGGGUAGGGGGUCUGAGAGGACGAUCCCCCACACUGGAACUGAAACACGGUCCAGACGCCUACGGGUGGCAGCAGGGAGGAAUAUUGGGCAAUGGGCGAAAGCCUGACCCAGCAACGCCGCGUGGAGGACGAAGGCCUUCGGGUCGUAAACUCCUUUUGAGGGAGACGGGCAAGGACGGUAUCCCUCGAAUAAGCCACGGCUAACUACGUGCCAGCCGCCGCGGUAAUAC